CAUCACUAGAGCAUCUAAACAACAACUUCUGAAGUAAAAAUAAGCAGCAACAACAUGAAGGUCUUCCUGUUUGGUCUUACUAGUUGCUCUUGCAACUGCUGACGCAUCUCAGCUGAAAAAUUGCACCCCAAAUCCUUCCGUCAACGAGAGGGUGGACAGCGUCACCUCCACCACCAUCAACAUAUCCUUCGAGGAUCCUGACGACAUGUCCUGCCCCAUCAUAGCCUACAAGACUCACUGGGAGACGGCCUUGUCCUCCAGCAUCACUCCGAAGGACGCAGAAGGAGAAGGAAACCAUC